AACGAACGCUGGCGGCGUGCCUAACACAUGCAAGUCGUGCGAGAAAGUUCCUUCGGGAGCGAGUACAGCGGCGCACGGGUGAGUAACACGUAGGUAAUCUGCCCUCGAGCCCGGAAUAACCUACCGAAAGGUGGGCUAAUACCGGAUAUGACCACGGGAGUUUCGGCUUCUGCGGUGAAAGGUGGCCUCUACUUGUAAGCUACCACUCAAGGAUGAGCCUGCGUACCAUUAGCUAGUUGGUGGGGUAAUGGCCCACCACGGCGAUGAUGGUUAGUAGGUCUGGGAGGAUGGCCAGCCACACUGGGACGGAACCACGGCCCAGACUCCUACGGGAGGCAGCAGUGGGGGAGAUUGCGCAAUGGGCGAAAGCCUGACGCAGCGACGCCGCGUGGGUGGUGAAGGCCUUCGGGUCGUAAAGCCCUGUCGAGGGGGAAGAAUCGGUUGCGACCUAACACGUCGUGAUCCUGACGGUACCCCUAAAGGAAGCACCGGCUAACUCCGUGCCAGCCGCCGCCGUAACAC
rnacentral:rRNA from 1 species